rnacentral:rRNA from 1 species
GACGAACGCUGGCGGCGUGCUUAACACAUGCAAGUCGAACGGAAAGGCCCUGCUUUUGUGGGGUGCUCGAGUGGCGAACGGGUGAGUAACACGUGAGUAACCUGCCCUUGACUUUGGGAUAACUUCAGGAAACUGGGGCUAAUACCGGAUAGGAGCUCCUGCUGCAUGGUGGGGGUUGGAAAGUUUCGGCGGUUGGGGAUGGACUCGCGGCUUAUCAGCUUGUUGGUGGGGUAGUGGCUUACCAAGGCUUUGACGGGUAGCCGGCCUGAGAGGGUGACCGGCCACAUGGGGACUGCGAUACGGCCCAGACUCCUACGGGAGGCAGCAGGGGGGAAUAUUGCACAAUGGGCGGAAGCCUGAUGCAGCAACGCCGCGUUCGGGAUGACGGCCUUCGGGUUGUGAACCGCUUUCGCCUGUGACGAAGCGUGAGUGACGGUAAUGGGUAAAGAAGCACCGGCUAACUACGUG